rnacentral:tRNA from 1 species
AGGAGUGUAGCUCAGUUGGCUAGAGCAGCGGUCUCCAAAACCGCAGGUCGCGAGUUCGAGCCUCGCCGCUCCUG